CGGGGGGGGCAAGCGUUGUUCGGAAUUACUGGGCGUAAAGGGCUCGUAGGCGGCAACUAAGUCGGAUGUGAAAUCCCCAGGCUCAACUUGGGAACUGCAUCCGAUACUGGAUGGCUUGAAUCCGGGAGAGGGAUGCAGAAUUCCAGGUGUAGCGGUGAAAUGCGUAGAUAUCUGGAGGAAUACCGGUGGCGAAGGCGGCAUCCUGGACCGGCAUUGACGCUGAUGAGCGAAAGCUAGGGGAGCAAACGGGAUUAGAUACCCCGGUAGUCCUAGCCCUAAACGAUGAAUGCUUGGUGUGGCGGGUAUCGAUCCCUGCCGUGCCGAAGCUAACGCAUUAAGCAUUCCGCCUGGGGAGUACGGUCGCAAGGCUG
rnacentral:rRNA from 1 species